rnacentral:rRNA from 1 species
UACGGGGGGGAGCAAGCGUUGUUCGGAUUUACUGGGCGUAAAGGGCGCGUAGGCGGCCACCGCAAGUCGACUGUGAAAUCUCCGGGCUUAACCCGGAAAGGUCAGCCGAUACUGCGGGGCUAGAGUGCAGAAGGGGCAACUGGAAUUCUCGGUGUAGCGGUGAAAUGCGUAGAUAUCGAGAGGAACACCUGCGGCGAAGGCGGGUUGCUGGGCUGACACUGACGCUGAUGCGCGAAAGCUAGGGGAGCGAACGG